ensembl:lncRNA
GUGAUCUUAAGAAUCGAGUGCUAAAAGUGGCAGUUCGUCCAUUAGCUUGAGUCCCUGCAUGACCCUGUGGAGCAAAGCCCUCUGUUGACUCACUUCAUGGUGAUGUCAUAGAGACACACCUCUUUAAUGUGUUGGGUUGCUCAGAGUAUGAAGUUGUUUGUUAUAGCAUCUGGAGUUAACUACCCUGACUAAUACAUUGUGUGACUAUUUCAAGGUGCACAGUAACUCAAAGGAAAAAAAAAAAAAAUGGCCCGGAGCCUAGGUCUCUUGAUCCCUAGUCCAGUGGCCGAUCUUGUUGAGGUUAGCAAGCAUGAUGGCGGCAUCGUCUGCUGACCCAAUUUCUCUCCCUUGACUGUGUUGAGGGAUUUUAUGAAGUUCAUGGAUCUUCUUCUAAAGUCACACCGACUCCUGUAGGAUUCGGACUGUGGGCCAGUGCGGACUUAUAACCAAAUGGCCAGAGAUACAAGGAGGUCCCAUGCACAUGUGAUGUCUGCUGAAACCCCCUCCUGUUCAGCCACGAUGUCUCUCUGGAAGGAGAGCAGCAAUACAGAAUUCACCCUUGUGGGUCAACUCCCAAUAAGCACCUCAAAGCCCCUGAAAAUAUAUCCCAGAUAGAUCUUUUCAGACUGACAUAAGAGAACCACCCCCAGAACAUUAUUGAAAACAUUGCCAAUAAAAGUGAUGAACCACUUUUGCAAGUGACUCAACACUAAAACUUUUUUUUCCUUCUUUGCCUCGCACGACAUCCCCUUCAUCUGUCUUAUAUUGUAAUCAGAUACAACCUUGAUAGAAUGAAAG